rnacentral:lncRNA from 1 species
UUUGCUAAAUUCUAUAUAUUGUUAUCAAGAAAUGAGAAGAUUGAUAGGGUUAUUAGUAUUCAUGUUUUGCUAAAUUUUGUAUAUUGUUAUCAAGAAAUGAGAAGAUUGAUAGGGUUAUUAUUGUUCUCGUUUUGCUAAAUUUUGUAUAUUCUUAUCAAGAAAUAAGAAGAUUGAUAGUGUUGUUAGUGUUCUUGUUUUGCUAAAUUUUGUAUAUUGUUAUCAAGAAAUGAGAAGCUUGAUAGUGUUAUUAGUCGUCUUGUUUUUCUAAAUUUUGUAUAUUAUUAUCAAGAAAUGAGAAGGUUGAUAGUGUUAUUAGUGUUCUUGUUUUGCUAAAUAUUGUAUAUUGUUAUCAAGAAAUGAGAAGAUUGAUAGUCUUAUUAGUGUUCUUGUUUUGCUAAAUUAUGUAUACUGUUAUCAAGAAAUGAGAAGAUUGAUAUUGUUAUUAGUGUUCUUGUUUUGCUAAAUUUUGUAUAUUGUUAUCAAGAAAUGAGAAGAUUGAUAGUGUUAUUAGUGUUCUUGUUUUGCUAAAUUUUGUAUAUUGUUAUCAAGAAAUGAGAAGAUUGAUAGUGUUAUUUGUGUUCUUGUUUUGCUAAAUUUUGUAUAUUGUUAUCAAGAAAUGAGAAGAUUAAUAGUGUUAUUAGUGUUCUUGUUUUGCUAAAUUUUAUAUAUUGUUAUCAAGAAAUAGGAAGGUUGAUAGUGUUAAUAGUUUUCUUGUUUUGCUUAAUUUUGUAUAUUGUUGUCAAGAAAUGAGAAGAUGAUAGUGUUAUUAGUGUUCUUGUUAUCAAGAAACGUUUGAAGCUGACCCUUUAGCAAAAUCUCUCAAAAAUGAAAGGCAUUGCCAUGGGGAAUUCUCGAUGGCUUCUAUUCAGUCAAAUAAGGAUAUGGAAGAUCACAACCAAGUCGAUGUAAGUCAUGACGUGAGUUAUUUCUUUGCUUCUUUUUUCUUAGCAUACUACUCUGUAUAUUAUUAUCAAGAAAUGAGAAGAUUGAUAGUGUUAUUAGUGUUCUUGUUUUGCUAAAUUUUGUAUAUUGUUAUCAAGAAAUGAGAAGAUUGAUAUUGUUAUUAGUGUUCUUGUUUUGCUAUAUUUUGUAUAUUGUUAUAAAGAAAUGAGAAGAUUGAUAGUGUUAUUAGUGUUCUUGUUUUGCUAAAUUUUGUAUAUUGUUAUCAAGAAAUGAGAAGAUUGGUAGUGUUAUUAGUGUUCUUGUUUUGCUAAAUUN